GGGGUCGUAGCUCAGUUGGUAGAGCACCUGCUUUGCAAGCAGGGGGUCGUGGGUUCAAAUCCCACCGGCUCCA
rnacentral:tRNA from 1 species